rnacentral:piRNA from 1 species
UAACUGUUGGAUUUCAGAGUGUGGUCUCAC